GGGGAGGUAGUAGCUCGCCUCCCUUGGCUGAGCUCCCUCCUUGCCAAGCCAGAGGCCAACCACCCUACUCUCAAGCGCCUACAGGAGGCGGGGAUGACAGACUAGCAAUGCCCCCACGUGGCGAGGCUUCACCCCAGUUGGACUCUGCUUUCCAACUGCUGGAGAUGGAGGAUGACGACUGACGAGGCCCAGACUCAGUAACUCCGGUGACCCACGCUGAGCCCAGGGUAAAACUCCAGGUAGCGGUUUCCCAGGUUGCAUUUCACCAGAUGGUGGUCCGGCCAUAUUCCCGCAUUCCAACCUCAGACCCCACAUACCAUGACAUCGCCCUUACACCCGC